CUCGCUGAAAUCAAAGUUCAGAUGCUCAUGAAUUUAAUUUUUGAAGUUUCCGGUUCGAUUCUGCCUCGAGAUUCGUGCUUGAUUAAGAUAAUUUUUUGAGAAUAUAUCAAUGUUGAAUAUCUCUUAGAGGAGGCAAGGAAUCAGGUUAAUCUUCAGGAGUUAUAUCUUCAUAUUUGUUGAUCAGAGGUUGAAUUUUUUGUUUACUUCAGUCUCUUUUCCAACCACAAGAUUGAUCACUUCGAUGUUUUUAAGUUCAUUUGUAUUGAGAAGCACUUCAGGAGUGGAUGGCUUUAAGGUUGUUUGGACAGUUUUUUCUUGGAGGAUUAGAAACAUUCUUUUGGGGAUAUAGGGUGAACUCUUUGUUUCCUUGGGUCAGGGUGUAAAUAUUUUUUCUCUCGAUUGUGAAUGGUCUUAUGAUUAUAUUGCCAAGGUCGACCUAGUAGAAUAUAACAUACUUUUGACUAAAGUGUGAUGAUCAUUUUUUCAUUCAAGAUGAUAGAGAGGAUUAAAAAUGCCAUACUCAUGUAUUAAAUGUGUAAUGAGUCCACAAGCAGCCUUAGUUACGUCAUUGCCAUAAUCUACCAUGCACACCCUCUCCUAACCAUGGGCAAAACCAGAAAGAGCUCAGGAUGGCUGAAUUUUUUUUUCCUUGGAAAAAUAAACACUUUAACUAUUCUGCCUACCUUUAAUAAAUACAUUUAUCCAAAUUUUAAUAAAAAAAUUAUUUUUUAUUUCAUAUAUAAGAUUUGAAUUUCACAAACUUAUUUUUCCCACCCUAAAAAGAGAGGCUGGUUCUGUCCCUACUCCUGACACCUAUCGGCCUUCACUUGCAACUGAGUUGUCACCAUCAUAUUCCAUGCGAUAACUAAUUGUCGAUGCUGCCUCCUUCUCCUCUUAGAUGGCACCCUUUUCUCUUAUAUCACUUUAUCAUCUAAAAUUUCUGAACUUUCUUCUGUAUUUGGGUAUUUAUACUUAGAAAAAAUGAAGCUUUUUUUCUCCUUUUUUGGGUCAAAUUGGAGCCUUAUUUCCCAUUUGGCCUCUUUGUUCUUAAGUAGGGAAUAUGAACAACUUAGCAAAAAUGUCGAUUGACUUCGAUUUCAUUUGGGAUAGCUUUUUUAUUACUUUUUUAAAAAUACUUUUUAGUUGAAAAUUUUCUUGCAUUAAAAAUUCUUGUACAAAAAAGCUUCUUUAGCAAGCUGUCCCAAACGAAGCCGAAGUCUUUGGUAAGUGUCAACAUAGGUACUUCAAGUCUGUCGUUUUUGUCCACAUCUUCUUAGCUGCUUCUUUUCUCUUCAUCCUUCCUGAAACAAAAAAUAAGGAAUAUAGAGAUCUUGAUAAAGGAAAAUGCACCAGAAAUAAAGAUAAUAAAAUCCUAUUUUAAAAUAAGGACAUUGAAGAAAGAUGAAAAUGCUGUUUUAAGAAAUUAGUAAAUAGGAUUUUAAAGAAGUUAUUUAGAAGUGCAUAACUAAUAAAUCAUGAGGUAUAUUGUAGAUUGAUUAAAAAAGUCUGAGUGCAGCUUUCUACCAAGUUCUUUGUUUUCAAGAUUCUCUGUACUUAUUGAUCAAGUUAGUCAUAUGGCGCUCGGUUUAAAAAUUAGGUUUUCCUUUUAUGAUUUACUUGGUGAUCUCUUUUGACUUUCUAUUCGUUCACUUCUUUAGUGGUCUCCUCUUGUGAUUUUUAAUUCAGUGAUUCCUUUGUAGCUUUUAUAUGGUAUUCAAUAAUUCUACUUAUGUGGCUCGUUUUCAUUCUUCUAGAUCAAGCCUUUAAUAGUUUUUUUCUUAGUGACUCUUUUACGAUAGAGUAUUUUUAUUUAUGAAUGAUUAUUGAGAGUUUUCUAUCAGAAUUUAUAAUUAUAAAUGGGAGUUAGAGGCAUAUACAAAAGCACAACAAUUAUUGAAUAAAUUUACUAAUUGGAUGUCUUAUUUCUUGUACUUCUUGUAUUCAGUUUAUUGAUCAAAUGAGAGACUUAAAAACUUAUGGGAGAGGUUAUCUUCUUGUGUAAGCGAGAGCCUUGCUUUUAGUGAAUUCUUUCCCUUAUAUUUUUGGUUAUUGUCUUGCAAGUGGCGCAAUCAAAUUUCUAUCAUGAUACUUAUAUGCAUGUGCUCUAAUGUGACCAAUCUAAUUAGUUUAGAAGUAAUCCAAUAAUGUUUUGAGGAUAGCAAGCCCACUAUGUUCACAAAUAUUUCUCUGGCAAAUUUUUGAUGGUUCUUCCAUCAAAAACAUGAGAAGAAUUAAGGAAAUUAUCAAUAUUGAUCUCACCUUUCUUCAUAAUAACAAUUUAAUUUUUGAGCUAUCAGGUCUUGUGAGAUUCCUUUCACAGUUAGGGGCAUAACUUAGGCUUCGUUUGUGACGGCUUUCUUUCUGCUUCAUAAAGUAGCUUUUUAGUACAAAAGUUUUUAAUUUUGUACUAAAAGGCUGCUUUAAGAAGCAGAAAGAAAGCCAUCCCAAACGAAGUCUUAAUUUGCAUACUCUAGAGAAACGGGAAGUCCUAAUUGUCUUCGUGCACAUCGGGAGAAAUCUAGAUGAUGCAGUCCUUAUUAAAGCAUGGCAUCAGGGUAUUGCUUUUCAUCUUCUAAGGUUUGUUGCAUUCCAAAGUGAUUUAAUUAGGACAAGAGAAGCAAUGGAUCCGAGAUGUAAAGUCUUCGACCCAGGUGGAUUGAUUAUAAUUUAUACAUCUAUCUUCCUCUCUAUAACACGCCUCGAUGGAGUCUAGCUCUUUUGACACAAGGGGAGAAUGAUGCGUGGCAUUUUAGCUUAAAAGAUUUCCUAGGAUAUCUUAUGUAGUUGUUACAAGUUUGUUUCAUGUUUUCUAGAAUCUUCUAGGUUUCUCUAGGCUUAUCUAGGUUUCUCUACUUGAUAUUAUAUAUAGAAAAUGUAAGAAGAAUUGAGGGUCAUUGAUGAAUAUUAUAUGAAUUGAAGCUUAGUACUUUGUUCUCUUGUUUUUGAAAAUCUUUCAAGCAUCAUCUUCUUCCAACGAUCCAACGAUUAUCCCCCACAUAAGAUCAAAACUCUUUCUUUGCCCAUUUACUGAUGAACUCAUGUUUUGCUCGAGCAUGCUUUUAGGGAUGUCAUUGCAGAAGGCACUUGAAACAGGGGAAGGGCAAGUUCAAAAAAGCUAUUGGUCAUGCCAAUGAGUAUGAACCUGCAGUGAGGAGCACAUCCAAAAUUUUAGUGCUUAAAACUAUAGGAUUUCCCUCCUUAGCUUCUAUCCAUUAGCUUCCACAUUCUUCAAUUUUGCAGCAGGCACUAGAAACAGUGGAAGGGCAAGUUUGUUAAUGUUAUUGGUCAUGCUGACGAGUAUGAUCCUGCGGUGAGGAGCAAGCACAUGCGAAAUCUUAGUGCUUAAAACUAUAGGAUUUCCCACUUCAGCUUCUAUCAGCUUCUAAAAUUUUCAGUGGUCACUUCCAUAAUUCCAAACACUGUAGAGUUUCUAGUGGAAGUAAUUAUUAGUCACAUCUACUCACAUUUUCAGCCAGCACUACCAUCCAUUAGGCUGCUUGGAAUGCUGUUCCAACUUUGAUAACUUCAGAUAUUUACUACCUUUUGCUGCCACUUAUCUCACUUGCUAGAAACUUGGGAAUUUUUGCUAUGUCUGCUGAGAAGAUUGGAACUCCCCUAGAAGGAAUCCAUGCUUUUGAGCUAUUGGCUUUACGCAAUUCUACAUUAGAUCUUCUGAACAAAGGGACAAUUAAGUGUGAGCAAAGAUUUAGCCAGGAGACCAGAUGAUUUACUGAAACUAGGUGGUAGACAGACAAUAAGCUACUUAUAAUCAACUUUAUGGCACUGACUGUUUGAACAAAUCAACAUUAUUGUGUCCACAGAUAAACAAGUAGGCGAAUAUUCUAGUUUGUUUAUUUGUUCAUAAAUAUUUAUAAUUAGCGUUCAAACUAAUUGAGUCAGUGAAGAGAACAAAAAGGAGUCAUAGUUAUACUAAUAUAGCUAAUGGGAAAGCUAAUAUAGAUUGUCUUGCAUUCAUAGCAAAUGGGAAAGCUACGCCAUACACCACAAUGGAGCUUUUUUUUUGGGACAUUUAGGCCAAUUAAGGCAAACUCACACACACGUCACAUACGCGAGACUCGAACCCAAGACCUUUUGGUUGAAAGCAGGGGCGGAACCACCUUGCCCCCGAGGGGGCAUCCCCUCCCUAAAAAAAUUAAAAAAAAAUGGAUAUUUAGGUAAUUUAUUCCCUCCAUCCUUUUUUUACUAUUUAUUAUAGGAGUUCUUAGGAAAUUGUCCCGCCUAAAAAAAUUAAAAUACUAUUAUCUUUAGGUGGUUGCCCAUAGCAGAAUUAAACACAUUGUGAGAGGUAUUAUUUAUAAAUUUGCCCCCUCCUAAGAAUUAAGGCCGGUUCCGCCCCUGGUUGAAAGUCAAAGCUUCCAACCAACAGACAAAGGUCAGUUGCGUCACCACAAUGGAGUGAACAAGUCACGGGAAGAUGGACUGGGUGCUCCAGAUCCUUAGCUGGUGGCCAAUUCCAAGUCUCACAAGUUAAUGAGUGAGCUGGAAGCCGUGUACUGAUGAAAGGAGAAGCACCUGUAGAGGCGCAACAGAAUGUGAUUGGAAAAAUGCCUGUCGAGGGAGGAGAGCUCAUCGAGAGAAGGAUGGAUUUUGAAAGCUUGGAUUAUCCUGGAUCUGGAGCAAAUGGCCGCCAUGAUCCAAGGAGCCCCGGAAAGCCUUGAGCUUAAAUAGUGCAAUUUUCCAUAUCAGUUUUUGAAUAAGGAAACUAUAUAUUGGACUUAAUAAUUAGCUCAUCAUUUUUGGAAAAGGGGCUCACUUUAUUGAAAUCAUGCAAAUUUAGAUAAUGAAUCAUAGUCAGUUUAUAUGAAUGACAAUAUGGUUUCCUUCUUUAAUGGUUUGAAAUGCUCAUUUAUAUGAUAUAACUCAGUACUAUUCUAUUAACUUUAUUUCUUUUUCA